rnacentral:lncRNA from 1 species
AGCUUUUGACUUCCGAUUUGAGCACCGAGACGAGCGCCGAUCAUCUUUUCGAUCACGUAUCUAAGUAGGUAAGAUCUCUACCUACGUUUUGAUGGUUUUCUUUUCGAUUUUCGUCGACGUCGAAAAACGUCGAUUCUCGACUUUAUUUUGAAACGACGUCGGAUCGUCGUGAAAUUUUAGUAUGUUGUUCUUGGGUAGAUGUUGAGCAUGUUUAAUGAAGGGAGUAAGAACGGAACGAACCGUAGCUAUGAAACCCAUGAGGGCAGCCCCGUUUUUCACAUAUUAGCUUGUCUUUCGAUUUUUGUUUGAUCGUUUUGACUUGAUAUUUGUGCUUAGGGGUAUGCUAGAAUCGAUAUAUAUUAAAUUCGUAUUUUUCCAAGCACGAAAAUUGUAUAAAUUUUUAGAGUAUGAUUAUUUAAAUUCGUGAAGUUUGAGACGUUGCAUAAUGAAUAUUAUUGCGUAUAUGUGUUCUACGAUAUCACAUGAGCAUGCUAAUUGAUUUACAAUUUAUGGAUGAUAAUUGUUGAACGAAAUUAAAACUGGAAUUCUGUCAAAAUUUUACAGCAGUUUCAAGCUUAUGUUUCGAUGAGUUUUCAUUGCUUGAUGGCUCUGAAAUUUUAGUAUGUUUAUCUAUGAUAUGUGUAUUUCGUUGCUGCAAAAUUUCAUGUCUUUUGGAUGAUGUUUGCUAUUUUAAAGAUAUUUUGAAAAAUCCUUGACAGAAUCUGUCAACUAUUGGUAGACUUCACAAAAACGUUUAUAUCUAUUAAUCCAUGAAGGAUUUUGCAUCACCGUUUUUUUAAACGAAACUAGACUUCAAUACUUUUCUAAAAACAUAAGAUUUCGAUUUUUAUGACCUCUGAAACAGAGCAGUUUAUUAUUUCAAAAAUGCCCUGUUCUGCUGUCAUAUUUGUCCAACAGUAAAAGUGUAUGAGUUUCAUUGUUUAUUUGGCAGAUCAUAUGAACGUUUUCUCUUGUGAAAUUUUAACCAAAUCUUCAAGGAUACCUUUAGUUUUGGAUGAUUAAAUUUGAUGGAAUUUAUAAGGUUGCCUUGGUUCUAAUGGCCUAAACAAAUUGGCAGAAACUGUCAAUCUUUGACAGCCUGCACUAAAAGAGCAAUAUCUCCAAAAAACCUUUAACCUUUUUGGUUAACUACCAUUUUUAGAGUGAACUACACUUCAUGAAGUUUUUGAGAUCAAUUGGUAUGAGAGUUUAUGAUGAUUGAGUUGGUUGUUAUGAAUUUUUAAAGAUGAACAAAAACAGCAAAACUUUCUAGAAAACAACUUGAUUAUAUUUGUUUUGAUGGAUGAUACGAUAUGACUAAAUGGUGUGAGUUGUGAGAGUUAUGAUUAACGCACAUAAAUGUUGGUAUCUGACACUCGAACAAUUGGUGUCGAGUAUAAAUGAUAGUUACUGAUAAAGAGUUUUGAUGAUUUUGAAUUGUUUGGUUUGCGUUGAAAAGAUGUCAAGAUGUUAAGUUUUGAGUCGAGAGACGAGUUCACGUAGUGAGAUUCACGCGUUGAAAUCUCGUGGCUGACAUUAUAUAUGAAUAGGUCAUGCCGAAAUUUUUAGUGAAAUUAGAAUUUGAGCAUAGUCAAUUCUUGUUGACCCGUGACUCAAAUACAUGCCUAAUGGAAAGUUUAACUUUCUAAUCGGUAAUUAGACGAGAUGAGAGCGAAUAGAUCUGCUAAGAAAGUGGACUUUUCGAUGUGUUAAAUAUUUCUUUUAAUUGAAGCGCUGCUAAUUAUAACAUAAGGAUGUUAUAAUUAAUGAGUAAUGACGAGAGAUAAUAAUUGUUAUAUUGAUUAACAAUCAAGAGAGAUGAACAUUAGAGAUACUAAUGUUUCAUAAAAGAAUUAGAUUAUUAAUCGAGGUUUCUUUUAUAACUUCUCACCAAUUCUUCAUAACGAUGAAGGUCCUUUUGGGAAGUAACGACUUGAGGAGAGAGUGACGUUACUCAUUGAUACAGAGACACAACGAGGUGGGCAUUACUUUUACUAUACGUAUAUAGAGAUCCCCUCGUUCGUGGCCUCUUAUACGAAUGAAUGCAUGAGAUGAUUAACUGUUAAUUUCAGUUUAUAUAUAUCUAUCAAAUGAGUUUAAAUGUUACAUUAGCAAGUUAUUUCUACAAAAUUUUGAGUUAAAGUUAUUUCAAGUAUUGUCUUGCCAUAAAAUGUUUAAAUUUUAGUAUGAUAUCUAUCUGCUUUGGCUUUGCCAAUGAUGCAAUCGAAUUCGGGUCCUGAGCAGUUGAUAGCUAUCCUGCCAGGCUAGUGUACACCAGUGACCGUGAGUCAUCUAGCGGGUUGGCCGGUCAAGUGACCGUGAGAGGUGGCCACCUCUCCGGCACAAGUUCAGAUAUGAUAGAUUACAAAAGAACUUAGUCUGAUCAGACGAACUUUAAGAAUCACAAAUGAACUUAGUAAGCUUGGGCCUUUUUAGCGAAAAACUCCCUUGCUGUACUGAUUAUGAUGGCAUGACAAUUUAUAGUUUUGAAGCAUGUAUUUUUAUACCUAGGCAUACGUGCCCACUGAGUGCUUUUGUACUCAGCCCUGCAUAUGUUUUCUAAAUGUGUAGGUUGAGCUGAUGUGAUGAUGGUGCUGCAAUGAGCGGAGUCUCCAGGGUUGUUAAUAAAUAGUUAACCUGUCUAGAAUAUGUCUUCAUACAUAUGUCUAGCUACUUUCCGCUGCAAGAUGUUGUUGAUGUUAUAGUAUGUUAUGUCAUACUUUGAGUCUUAAGAGAAUGGUUCAUAUGAUGUAUAACUUGAUUAAUGAUAUUAAUUAACUUUUAUGCAGUCUUUCAUAGACUGUUUUCAAUUGAGUAUUAAUGAAUAAAAAUG